GAUGAACGCUGGCGGCGUGCCUAAUACACGCAAGUCGAGCGAAUGGAUUGAGAGCUUGCUCUUAUGAAGUUAGCGGCGGACGGGAGAGUAACACGUGGGUAACCUGCCCAUAAGACUGGGAUAACUCCGGGAAACCGGGGCUAAUACCGGAUAACAUUUUGAACCGCAUGGUUCGAAAUUGAAAGGCGGCUUCGGCUGUCACUUAUGGAUGGACCCGCGUCGCAUUAGCUAGUUGGCGAGGUAACGGCUCACCAAGGCAACGAUGCGUAGCCGACCUGAGAGGGUGAUCGGCCACACUGGGACUGAGACACGGCCCAGACUCCUACGGGAGGCAGCAGUAGGGAAUCUUCCGCAAUGGACGAAAGUCUGACGGAGCAACGCCGCGUGAGUGAUGAAGGCUUUCGGGUCGUAAAACUCUGUUGUUAGGGAAGAACAAGUGCUAGUUGAAUAAGCUGGCACCUUGACGGUACCUAACCAGAAAGCCACGGCUAACUACGUGCCAGCCGCCGCAGUAA
rnacentral:rRNA from 1 species